rnacentral:rRNA from 1 species
GUCUACAGUCAUACCACCCUGAAUGAACCCAAUCUCGUCUGAUCUUGGAAGUUAAGCAGGGUCGGGUCUGGUUAGUACUUGGAUGGGAGAAAUCUCAGUGCUACUGGGU